UACGAAGGGUGCGAGCGUUGUUCGGAAUUAUUGGGCGUAAAGGGUGCGUAGACGGCACAUUAAGUCUGUUGUUAAAUUUCUCGGCUCAACCGAGAAUCAGCGAUAGAAACUGGUGCGCUAGAGGGUGAAAGAGAGAAGUGGAAUUCUCGGAGUAGCGGUAAAAUGCGUGGAUCUCGAGAGGAACACCAAUGGCGAAGGCAGCUUCUUGGCUCACAUCUGACGUUGAGGCACGAAAGCGUGGGGAGCAAACAGG
rnacentral:rRNA from 1 species